rnacentral:rRNA from 1 species
UACGAAGGGGGGCUAGCGUUGCUCGGAAUCACUGGGCGUAAAGGGUGCGUAGGCGGGUCUUUUAAGUCAGAGGUGAAAUCCUGGAGCUCAACUCCAGAACUGCCUUUGAUACUGAAGAUCUUGAGUUCGGGAGAGGUGAGUGGAACUGCGAGUGUAGAGGUGAAAUUCGUAGAUAUUCGCAAGAACACCAGUGGCGAAGGCGGCUCACUGGCCCGAGUACUGACGCUGAGGCACGAAAGCGUGGGGAGCAAACA